rnacentral:rRNA from 1 species
GACAGAGGUCCCGAGCGUUAGGCGGAAUCACUGGGCUUAAAGCGUGUGUAGGCGGAUCGUUAAGUGCCUUGUGAAAUCCCACGGUUUAACCGUGGAACUGCUUGGCAUACUGGCGGUCUUGAGCCACCUAGGGGCAACCGGAACAAACGGUGGAGCGGUGAAAUGCGUAGAUAUCAGGAGGAACACCAAUUGCGAAGGCAGCUCGCUGGGACGUUACUGACGCUGAGACGCGAAAGCGUGGGGAGCAAACAGG